rnacentral:tRNA from 1 species
GUUCCUAUAGUUAAGAGUUGCAUUAACGGUGGCUUUUCAGGCCACAGACCUUGGGGAGGAGCCAAGUGGGAAUA